UUUUCUGUUUUGAUAUGUCCAAAUUUUUUGUUUCUAUGCUGGCAAAUUUUGAUGGCCAUGUCGAUCUUUUUUUUGAAUUUUUCAUUUUCCCAAUAAUCGUUGACAAACAAAAUGUUUUGUUUUUCAUUUUCAAUAUGAUAUUCUAUAUUUGAAAAAAAUGAUGAAUAACUCUCUCUACGAUUGUAGCAUCUUACACACGUAAUUUGUGUGUAUGUGUGUUUCACAAUGUGAUUCUUCUAUAAUAUUCUGAUUUAUAGAAUGUUAUUAUUAUGAAAAAGUAAAACCUUUCAUUUUGUCAAAAACGAUUGUUUUGUUUGAAAAUGAUAAAUACAAAAAAAACGAUAUGUAGUAGUAGUAGUAGCUUGAUAUAUUUGCCUUCUAUUUCUUCAUUGUGUUUGAAUUGGACAUAUUUCACAACAACAACUACAACAACAAAAAACAAAACUCGAUUCCAUUCUGUUAAACUUGUUCCGAACCGAGAUAACAAUUGAAAACAACGUUCGUAAUAAGUUUAACGGACUGGAUCGAUCGAGUAAAUAAUCAACAAAUGAGAUAGAAAUGAAAAUACCAUAUAUCAUCACAUCAUCAUCGGAAAAGGACGAAUGAUCGAAAUAAUAACUGGACAGACCGAAAAUUCCAAUUUUGAAAAUGGUAAGCGUUUUGUGACGAGAAUCUCUCUAUGAUUAAGAGAAAAAACGUUUAGGAUGAAAACAUAUCACAUUCAUAGUUGAAUGUUUUGAGUUUGCGAGACAAAUUCAAUACAAAAAUGAUUCACAAGUCAUAGUUACCCUGAUUU